rnacentral:misc_RNA from 1 species
UUGAACCUUUAGCGGCGCAAGCUGCUGAUCCUUCGGGAUCAUACACACAUCGUGAACUGUGGCUUCGGCCUUUUUACACUUUAUGUAUGAAUGUAUUACUAUAAACAAAACA